rnacentral:piRNA from 2 species
UGCAGUUCAGAACUAGAGGACAAUGCCUU